UACGUAGGGAGCAAGCGUUGUCCGGAAUCAUUGGGCGUAAAGCGCGCGUAGGUGGCUCUAUAAGUCCGUUGUGAAAGUCAAAGGCUCAACCUUUGAAAGCCGAUGGAUACUGUAGAGCUAGAGUCCGGAAGAGGCGAGUGGAAUUCCUGGUGUAGCGGUGAAAUGCGCAGAUAUCAGGAGGAACACCGAUGGCGAAGGCAGCUCGCUGGGACGGUACUGACGCUGAGACGCGAAAGCGUGGGGAGCGAACAGG
rnacentral:rRNA from 1 species